rnacentral:rRNA from 1 species
AUUGAACGCUGGCGGCAGGCCUAACACAUGCAAGUCGAGCGGAUGAGAAAAGCUUGCUUUUCGAUUCAGCGGCGGACGGGUGAGUAAUGCCUAGGAAUCUGCCUGUUAGUGGGGGAUAACUCGGGGAAACUCGGGCUAAUACCGCAUACGUCCUACGGGAGAAAGUGGGGGAUCUUCGGACCUUACGCUAACAGAUGAGCCUAGGUCGGAUUAGCUAGUAGGUGAGGUAAUGGCUCACCUAGGCGACGAUCCGUAACUGGUCUGAGAGGAUGAUCAGUCACACUGGAACUGAGACACGGUCCAGACUCCUACGGGAGGCAGCAGUGGGGAAUAUUGGACAAUGGGCGAAAGCCUGAUCCAGCCAUGCCGCGUGUGUGAAGAAGGUCUUCGGAUUGUAAAGCACUUUAAGUUGGGAGGAAGGGUAUUCACCUAAUACGUGGGUACUUUGACGUUACCAACAGAAUAAGCACCGGCUAACUCUGUGCCAGCCGCCGCGGUAA